UACGUAGGGUGCGAGCGUUAAUCGGAAUUACUGGGCGUAAAGCGUGCGCAGGCGGUUCGUUAAGUUCGAUGUGAAAGCCCCGGGCUCAACCUGGGAACUGCAUUGGAAACUGGCGAGCUUGAAUGCGGCAGAGGGGGGUGGAAUUCCGCGUGUAGCAGUGAAAUGCGUAGAGAUGCGGAGGAACACCGAUGGCGAAGGCAGCCCCCUGGACCGACAUUGACGCUCAGGCACGAAAGCGUGGGGAGCAAACAGG
rnacentral:rRNA from 1 species